rnacentral:rRNA from 1 species
CCUUAGUUACCAGCACGUUAUGGUGGGCACUCUAAGGAGAACUGACCGGUGGACAAACCGGAGGAAGGUGGGGAUGACGUCAAGUCAUCAUGGCCCUUACGGCCUGGGCUACACACGUGCUACAAUGGUCGGUACAAAGGGUUGCCAAGCCGCGAGGUGGAGCUAAUCCCAUAAAACCGAUCGUAGUCCGGAUCGCAGUCUGCAACUCGACUGCGUGAAGUCGGAAUCGCUAGUAAUCGUGAAUCAGAAUGUCACGGUGAAUACGUUCCCGGGCCUU